GCACCAUUAGCUCAAUUGGAUUAGAGCGUUAGACUUCGGAUCUAAAGGUUGUUGGUUCGACUCCAGUAUGGUGCGCCA
rnacentral:tRNA from 1 species